UUUUGGGAGCUCACUGGCUUCGGAGUCAUGGGAACUCCGAAGUUAAGCGAGUUUGGGCUAAAGCAAUUCCAGAAUGGGUGACCCACAAGGAAGUGCUCAUGAGUUCCCAAAAA
rnacentral:rRNA from 1 species